rnacentral:rRNA from 1 species
GUAGGGAAUAUUGGGCAAUGGUCGGAAGACUGACCCAGCCAUGCCGCGUGCAGGAAGACGGCCCUCUGGGUUGUAAACUGCUUUUAUCUGGGAAGAAAAAGGCCAUGCGUGGCAAAUUGCCGGUACCAGAUGAAUAAGCACCGGCUAACUCCGUGCCAGCAGCCGCGGUAAUACGGAGGGUGCAAGCGUUGUCCGGAUUUAUUGGGUUUAAAGGGUGCGUAGGCGGCUGAUUAAGUCAGCGGUGAAAGACUCCGGCUUAACCGGAGCAGUGCCGUUGAUACUGGUUAGCUUGAGUGUUGGAGGGGUACAUGGAAUUGAUGGUGUAGCGGUGAAAUGCAUAGAUACCAUCAGGAACACCGAUAGCGAAGGCAUUGUACUGGCCAACAACUGACGCUGAUGCACGAAAGUGUGGGGAUCGAACAGGAUUAGAUACCCGAGUAGUCC